GGGUGACAAGUGACAGAGUGAGGGAAGGGGUGACUAGUGGCAGAGUGAGGGAAGGAAGGGGUGACUAGUGACAGAGUGAGGGGAUGACUUGUGACAGAGAGGGAGGUGGUGACUGUCACUAGUCACCCCAUCCCUCCCUCUGUCACUAGUCACUCCCUCCCUAACUCUGUCACUAGUCAUCCCUUCACUCUGUCACUAGUCACCCCCUCCCUCUGUCAUUGUGUCACCCCAUUCCUCCCUCUGUCACUGUGUCACCCCAUUCCUCCCUCUGUCACUGUGUCACCCC